GAUGAACGCUGGCGGCGUGCCUAAUACAUGCAAGUCGAGCGAACGGACGAGAAGCUUGCUUUUCUGAUGUUAGCGGCGGACGGGUGGGUAACACGUGGAUAACCUACCUAUAAGACUGGGAUAACUUCGGGAAACCGGAGCUAGUACCGGAUAAUAUUUUGAACCGCAUGGUUCAAAAGUGAAAGACGGUCUUGCUGUCACUUAUAGAUGGAUCCGCGCUGCAUUAGCUAGUUGGUAAGGUAACGGCUUACCAAGGCAACGAUGCAUAGCCGACCUGAGAGGGUGAUCGGCCACACUGGAACUGAGACACGGUCCAGACUCCUACGGGAGGCAGCAGUAGGGAAUCUUCCGCAAUGGGCGAAAGCCUGACGGAGCAACGCCGCGUGAGUGAUGAAGGUCUUCGGAUCGUAAAACUCUGUUAUUAGGGAAGAACAUAUGUGUAAGUAACUGUGCACAUCUUGACGGUACCUAAUCAGAAAGCCACGGCUAACUACGUG
rnacentral:rRNA from 1 species